UGUGGCUGCCGAGUUCUCGGGAACAGCGGCUCGGCCUGCAAGGCUGUUGUUUCAAGAAAUGAAAAUGAAGGGCGCCCUGGAAUAGGUUCGCCGAAGAGAGAGCUUGCAGGCCUCUGGGAAGCAAGCCAUCGUGUGGCAGAGGCCCAGGUGGCAAGGAACCAAGGGCGGCUUCUGGCCAACAGCCAGCGAGGACCUGAGACCGUAGCCCAACACCCCUCCAGGAACUGAAUUUUGCCAGCAACCAGUGAGUGACCUUGGAAGUGGAUCCUUCCCCCGAAAGCCCGGCUUUCAGACGGAGGCUGGUGGGACCUCAACCCCAGCUGGUAUCCAGGCUCUUGACACCAUCUGGAGAAGGAAUUCAAGAGUGUGUCAGAAAAUGAUGAAAGUACAAAGAUUUAUUGCAAAGCGAAAAAUACACACUCAAGAAAGGGGAGUAUGGGUGGACUCAAGACAGAGUCCGAUGGGACUUGGGGUUUCUACCUUUUGGGUUUCUUUUUUUUUUUUUUUUGAUAUGGAGUCUCGCACUGUUGCCCAGGCUGGAGCGCAGUGGCGUGAUUUUGGCUCACUGCAACCUCUGCCUCCCGGGUUAAAACGAUUCUCCUGCCUCAGCGUCCCAAGUAGCUGGGAUUACAGGCUCCCACCACCAUGCCCGGCUAAUUUUUGUAUUUUUAGUAGAGACGAGGCCUCACCAUAUUGGCCAGGCUGUUCUCGAACUCCGGACCUUAGGUGAUCUGCCUGCCUCAGCCUCCCAAAGUGCUGGGAUUACAGGCGUGAGCCACCAUGCCCAAUGGGUGUGGGAUUUAGUAUAUUAAUGAGUGUAUAAUGAGGUCCUUGGUGAAACCUACAUCAAAUCCAGCACCGUGUUGGGUCCAGUCUGUCUUAGCCAGCUUGGUCCACACCCUGGUUUUUUAGGGUCUUAUUGGCCCCUUACUUCUGCAGCAAAAGUUUCCUUUUGCUAGUCAUGUGAAACUGCCACCUGGAAUUUUCUAUUCUCUAGUGACCACCCUGUAUUAUUCCUGUCUCACUGGGACCCUAAGAAAUUGGGAAUUCCAACUACACAUCCAAAAUAGUUUGACUAAAACUGUUGAAAAAAGAAAAAAAUAAUGGCAUAAAGUAUUGCUUGACUAAAUUCCAGCCAGGUGCAUUGGCCACUUUAGGUCGGGUGUGGUGGCUCAUGCUUGUAAUCCCAGCAUUUUGGGAGGCUGAGGCGGGAGGAUCA
rnacentral:lncRNA from 1 species